rnacentral:rRNA from 1 species
AACGAACGCUGGCGGCAGGCCUAACACAUGCAAGUCGAGCGAGACCUUCGGGUCUAGCGGCGGACGGGUGAGUAACGCGUGGGAACGUGCCCUUUUCUACGGAAUAGCCUCGGGAAACUGAGCGUAAUACCGUAUACGCCCUUUGGGGGAAAGAUUUAUCGGAGAAGGAUCGGCCCGCGUUGGAUUAGGUAGUUGGUGGGGUAAUGGCCUACCAAGCCUACGAUCCAUAGCUGGUUUGAGAGGAUGAUCAGCCACACUGGGACUGAGACACGGCCCAGACUCCUACGGGAGGCAGCAGUGGGGAAUCUUAGACAAUGGGGGCAACCCUGAUCUAGCCAUCCCGCGUGAGUGAUGAAGGCCUUAGGGUUGUAAAGCUCUUUCAGCUGGGAAGAUAAUGACGGUACCAGCAGAAGAAGCCCCGGCUAACUCCGUG